rnacentral:rRNA from 1 species
AAGUCGUACGAGAGUUUUUAACUCAAGUGGCGGACGGGUGAGUAACACGUAAGAAUUUACCUUUAGGAGGGGGACAACAACUGGAAACAAUUGCUAAUACCCCAUAUGCUUUCGAGUGAAAUGGAUUUUCCGCCUAGAGAGAAGCUUGCGGCUGAUUAGCUUGUUGGUGAGGUAAUGGCUUACCAAGGCGACGAUCAGUAUCUGGUUUGAGAGGAUGAUCAGACACACUGGAACUGAGACACGGUCCAGACUCCUACGGGAGGCAGCAGUAGGGAAUUUUCCGCAAUGGGCGAAAGCCUGACGGAGCAAUACCGCGUGAGGGAUGACUGCCUAUGGGUUGUAAACCUCUUUUUUCAGGGAGGAACAUCAUGACGUGUACCUGAAGAAUAAGCAUCGGCUAACUCCGUGCCAGCAGCCGCGGUAAGACGGAGGAUGCAAGUGUUAUCCGGAAUCACUGGGCGUAAAGCGUCUGUAGGUGGUCAAAUAAGUCAACUGUUAAAUCUUGAGGCUCAACCUCGAAAUCGCA